UACGUAGGGGGCAAGCGUUGUCCGGAAUCAUUGGGCGUAAAGAGCGUGUAGGCGGCCCGAUAAGUCCGCUGUGAAAGUCCAGGGCUCAACCCUGGGAUGCCGGUGGAUACUGUCGGGCUCGAGUCCGGAAGAGGAGUGUGGAAUUCCUGGUGGUAGCGGUGAAAUGCGCAGAUAUCAGGAGGAACACCAAUGGCGAAGGCAGCACUCUGGGACGUGACUGACGCUGAGACGCGAAAGCGUGGGGAGCAAACAGG
rnacentral:rRNA from 1 species